UACGGAGGGUGCAAGCGUUAUCCGGAUUUACUGGGUUUAAAGGGUGCGCAGGCGGAUAUGUAAGUCAGUGGUGAAAUCUCCGGGCUUAACCCGGAAACUGCCGUUGAUACUAUAUAUCUUGAAUGCUGUGGAGGUAAGCAGAAUAUGUCAUGUAGCGGUGAAAUGCUUAGAGAUGACAUAGAAUACCUACUGCGAAGGCAGCUUACGACGCAGAUAUUGACGCACAUGCACGAAAGCGUGGGGAUCAAACAGG
rnacentral:rRNA from 1 species